UGAGACUCUUAAUCUCAGGGUUGUGGUUUGAGCCCCAUGUUGGGUGAUUGUUUUCUCUGCCGAAGCACCAACUCAAUUCGCAAACAGCCAACCGCUUGGAUUUUCGAGCAGGCUUGCCAUCCUGCAUUGCUGAUGUGUCAGGCAUUGCUGGUAAUGCAGAAGACUAUGGAUUUGAAUCCUAGUCAGUACUACAAUUGAUGUACCUG
rnacentral:lncRNA from 1 species